rnacentral:misc_RNA from 1 species
ACCACCCGCUUUGCGGCCAGAGCGGGCAAAAAGCUGUGACCCGAGUCCUCCCGGCAACAGAUGGCGGCAAGUCCCGUCCGCGUACGGCGUAUUACAUACUUAAGCUUUCAUUUAGGAAUUGCCCGUAUGUUUUGGACAUGACCAAGCGCGUGAUUUCAGUUCGACUUUCGGACGAACGCCUCAAGCAACUGGAUGAGGUGUGCAGCCGGCUGGGCAUGAACC